GGCCUCCAUGCAUGCCUUGCUGAAGCCUGAAGCUGAGCAAGGAAGCAGGCAGACAGGCAGAGAGUGUCCCGCGCCAGAUCUCUCUGCAGGCCCUCUGCCCAGCCCAGCUGUAGUAAUGGAGACCAGUCUUCAGCUGCUUGGAUUUCUCAGCUCCUUGUCCAGACCCUUGAGACCCUAACUCAUGCUGCUUUAGACCUGGUUCCUGAGCUGUUUCCUGCGCUGUUUCCUGGGCUGCUUCACCUUGCCUUGAGACCUCCCUUGGUGAUGCUGUGGACCUUAGGCUCAGGACUCUUGGAAUCUGGUGAGCGACCUAGGUGAGGGGAAGACUGUUGAACUUGAUACUUGCUAGUGAUUUGUUUCUCUUGUGCUUUGUUGCAGAUGCAGAAGGAUCCCAGAGCUACUGGCUUUGUUAAUGGUGACCUUGGACCAAGCCUUGGAAGGAUGAGCUCGUGACAACUGAAUCCCUAUGAGGAUUCAUUACACACCUUCAUUUAUUUUAUUCAUUUUGACUGUCUUGGGACAGUACCAACUGUCAACCAAUGCCAUGUGCCAGUGACACCCCUCUCCCACCUGUAAGGAAGUGGGGUACAACUCAGUUUAUGUUUUAGGAAUUUUUUCAAGUGUUUAGACUCUGGUGUCUAAUAACCUUCCUUCAUAAUGAAUCCCUAUGAGGAUUCUUUACAUACCAAAGAGUUUAAACACAUCAAAAAAAAUUCCUAAAAUAUAAACAGAGUACCUAGUGGCUUGUGGGUAGUUGGCAUGUGGGAUGCCAUUAAUUCCCCACCCCACCUGCAAAGCAGUGGGGUCAAAAUGAACAGAAGAAAUGAAGGUGUGUAAUGAAGACACCAAAGAAUCUAAACACUUCAAAAAUUCCUAAAAAAUAAACUGAGUACCCCAGUGUGGGGGGGGUGGGAUGGGGGUGUAGUUGACAAAUGGCAAUUGACAGUUAGCACUGUCUAAUAACAGUCAAAAUGAAUAUAAGAAAUGAAGGCAUAUAAUGAAUCCUCAUAGGGAUUCAUUCUGAGGAAAUGUUAUUAGACACCAAAGAAUCUAAACACUUCAAUAUUCCUAAAAAAUAAACUGAGUAACCUACUACCUUGCAGGUGGGGGCAGAAUGUAGUUGGCACAUGGAAGUUGACAGCUGGCACUGUCCAAUGACAGUAAAAAUGAACAGAAGAAAUGAAGGUGUGCAAUGAAUCCUCAUAGGGAUACAUUAUGAGGAAAAGUUAUUAUACACCGAAGAGUGACUGCACAUAUUGCUCCAUAACUCCACUUCUACAAGGGCUAGAGCUUAGCUCUUUAAAAAAAAUUAAAGCUGGGGGUCUAUGUUAGAGUUAGGAUAGGGUGACUACAAUUCCCCAUUAUUUCCUAUGGUGGAAAUAUACAAAACUAGUAAAAACAAAAGAAAAUAAUUAAAAUCAACCAAGUGUCAAACUGCCUUGAAAUUUGGGUGGUAGGUGGCACCCAUGGAGACUUACCCACCACCCCAAUUUGGUGCCCCUGGGUCCUGUACAAAUGGUCUGAAUCAAUCUGAAUUGAAUCAAAUUUAAAUAGAAUCUGGGGUAAUUCAGGAGGACAUAUUUGGACACAAAACAAAUUGGGGUGAUUCAAUCCAGGCACAAUUUGAAUUAAAAAUUGAUUUGUGCACAUCCCUAUUGUCUACUCUGAGGCAGUGGCUCUUUAGGACUUUAGGAAGUAUUUGGAUUCUUCCCUCAGGGUUCACACUGGUGCUCUCUUGGUCUUAGACUGCAGGGGAGGGAGUUGCUUCACUCACUGCCUCCUCCUGCUGGACUAAACCUUCCUUCGUCUGGGAUCUCAUCAGAGGGCCCAGACCCCGCUUCAACACUGUACAGUGGAUAAUAUAAAUCCUGCUCUUUUAUAUCUUGCUCCUCCUCCAAGGAGCCCGGAGUGCUGUACGUGGUUAUCCCCAUGUUCAUUUCCACAACAAGCCUGUGAGAUCACCAAUAUAUAACCCACCUGCACAGCCACAAGAUGCAAGUUUCUUUGAUAUCAAUGGAAGGUAAACAUUUGUAGUUGUACAUCAGGCUGUGUCCUGCAUAGCUAAAGGCAAUAGAUGGAACACAACAAGAGAGUAGCAAAUAGCAAACACGUCAAGUCAAGGAGGAAUGAACCCAAUGUAAACAGAAAUAGGAUGAAUCUCAAAGAACUUUCUACAGGAGAUAUACAAGUGCAAUUUUGUGUAUUCCUACUGUGCUAAAUGACCGAAGAGGGUCAGCGGCGUAUUUCCAGUCUUCCGGAAUGUGAGCAGCACUUGGAAGAAUUAUCUUUCUUGCACAACGGAGCAUGUGCAGGAGGAAUGGAGGAGUUGCACCAGAGCUCCCGACACAUCCUCACAGACCCUUUUAACACAUGCAAGUUCAAUGGUCAGGAUAUCAAUCAGUGUCUCUACACUGGCUGCUGGUGUCUACCUUGUGAUUCUUUUUGUAUUAUGAGUCCUUGGGGGACUUCGAACCAUUAUUAUUUUUAUUUAUAGAUCACUUUGAGUCUUUUUCCUGAAAAGUGGAAUAUUGAUGAUGGUAAAUCAGUUGAUAAUGUAUCAAAGCUUGCUCCUACUUCUGUAAGAGAAUUUGCUAGAAGUAAUAGAAGAGGUAGCAUAACAUUGAGUGUUUUUCCAGCUCAAAUAUCUCUCUACCUUUGGGAUUGAAACAGAAACAUGUUUCCACUAUAUUUGGCAAUAUAACCAGUCCAUUAAGAUCAAUACAUUGGAGUACGCUGACCAACGUCAAUUCACAAUACCAAUGUCCACUGGCACUUGACAAAGAAGUCUCUCGAAAGGGAGGUCACUGGGUCAAUGUAGUGUGUGGACUUCUUCAUUCAUAUUUUCACCUUAUGGAUUCCAUUGCUCCAUUUUGAUAGUUUGUAGACUCUAUCACCUAUGUGUUGUAUUCAUUUCUAGAGAUGUGUAUGAAUUGAUUUUUUCAUUUCGAUUUGUACCCAAAUCAAAACACCUCUGAUUUGUUUGGAGUCUGAAUCUGAUCCCCCCCCACCACAAAUCACACCAGAUUCGAUUUGGACCCUAUUUUUUUGAAUCCAAAUCCAAAUCAAUUUGGAUAAAAAGGGGUCCCAGGGCCAAAAGAGUGCUGGUGGUGGUAGUGCCCAAUGGGUGGGAGCUACCACCCAAAUUUCAAAAAAAAUGGGCAAGGGGGUGAUAUUUUUUAUGAAUUUUUGAAGUUUACACAUUGUUAUAAAUGACAAACAAUGAAUCCACUCUCAUUUCCUCAGAACACCUCAGAAACAACAAAACCCAGUGCCCCCAUGGGCUUGUGGGUAUGGGGGUGGUUGGCACCCUAUGUGCUAGUGCACCACCACUCACUCUGGGCCACCCCAGUGUCCCCCAAGUAAAGUUAUGAGGCUGAUGAAAUCCCCAUUAUUCCCUAUGGGGGAAAAGCUUAAAGAUGCGCAGACUUCACAUAUUCUUUAAAAAUCACCCCUUUCACCCAUUUCUUUGGAAUCUGAGUGGUAGCAGGUACUCAUUGGGGCACUACUACUCAACUCACUGUUCUGCCCCCAAAGCCCCUUUUCUCCACCAAAGACACAAACUUCAGAAAUCCUUUAAAAAUCAACCAU